GGGAUAGAAUUCCAGGAGUAGCGGUGAAAUGCGUAGAUAUCUGGAGGAAUACCAAAGGCGAAGGCAGUCCCCUGGUCCGAUACUGACACUGAGGUACGAAAGCGUGGGGAGCAAACAGGAUUAGAUACCCUGGUAGUCCACGCCCUAAACGAUGUCGAUUAGCCAUUGGAAGGACCCCUUUUCCUUUCAGUGACGUAGCUAACGCGUUAAAUCGACCGCCUGGGAAGUACGACCGCAAGGUUAAAACUCAAAGGAAUUGACGGGGACCUGAACAAGCGGUGAAGAUGUGGAUUAAUUCGAUGCUACGCGAAGAACCUUACCUACCUUUGACAUGGCCAAAGUUCUACCGAGAGGCGGAAGUACUCGUAAGAGGAUUGGCGCACAGGUGCUGCAUGGUUGUCGUCAGUUCGUGUCGUGAGAUGUUGGGUUCAGUCCCGCAACGAACGCAACCCUUAUCUUUAAUUGCUCCUAUUUUAACAGGCACUUUAAAGAAACUGCCAAUGAUAAGUUGGAGGAAGGUGGGGAUCACGUCAAGUCCGCAUGGCCUUUAUAGGUAGGGCUUCACACGUCAUACAAUGGUUAGAACAAAGAGCUGCAAAUUCGUAAGAAGGAGCCAAUCUCACAAACCUAACCUCAGUUCGAAUUGCGGUCUGCAACUCGAGCGCAUGAAGCCGGAAUCGCUAGUAAUCGUGGAUCAGAAUGCCACGGUGAAUACGUUCUUAGGUCUU
rnacentral:rRNA from 1 species